GGCUGGUUAGCUCAGUCAGUUAGAAUAUGGUGCUGAUAACACCAAGGUUGAGGGUUCAAUCCCCGUUCAGUCU
rnacentral:tRNA from 1 species